AGAGCGAACGCUGGCGGCAGGCCUAACACAUGCAAGUCGAGCGCCCGUAGCAAUACGGGAGCGGCAGACGGGAUAGUAACACGUGGGAACGCGCCCUUCGGUUCGGAAUAACUCAGGGAAACUUGAGCUAAUACCGGAUACGCCCUUACGGGGAAAGAUUUAUUGCCGAAGGAACGGCCCGCGUCCGAUUAGCUAGUUGGUGAGGUAAUGGCUCACCAAGGCGACGAUCGGUAGCUGGUCUGAGAGGAUGACCAGCAUCACUGGGACUGAGACACGGCCCAGACUCCUACGGGAGGCAGCAGUGGGGAAUAUUGGACAAUGGGCGCAAGCCUGAUCCAGCCAUGCCGCGUGGAUGAUGAAGGCCUUAGGGUUGUAAAGUCCUUUUAACGGGAAGAUAAUGACGGUACCCGUAGAAUAAGCCCCGGCUAACUCGUGCCAGCAGCCGC
rnacentral:rRNA from 1 species